GGGGCUGGGGCCGGGGCCGAGC
rnacentral:miRNA from 2 species